rnacentral:rRNA from 1 species
AUUGAACGCUGGCGGCAUGCUUUACACAUGCCAGUCGAACGGCAGCGCGGGCUUCGGCCUGGCGGCGAGUGGCGAACGGGUGAGUAAUGCAUCGGAACGUGCCCAGUAGUGGGGGAUAGCCCGGCGAAAGCCGGAUUAAUACCGCAUACGACCUGAGGGUGAAAGCGGGGGACCGAAAGGCCUCGCGCUAUUGGAGCGGCCGAUGUCGGAUUAGCUAGUUGGUGGGGUAAAGGCUUACCAAGGCGACGAUCCGUAGCUGGUCUGAGAGGACGACCAGCCACACUGGGACUGAGACAUGGCCCAGACUCCUACGGGAGGCAGCAGUGGGGAAUUUUGGACAAUGGGGGCAACCCUGAUCCAGCCAUGCCGCGUGCGGGAAGAAGGCCUUCGGGUUGUAAACCGCUUUUGUUCGGGAAGAAAUCCUCUGGGCUAAUACCCCGGGGGGAUGACGGUACCGGAAGAAUAAGCACCGGCUAACUACGUG